AAAGGGGGCAACCCCCGGUAGCGUGGCAGACGGGUGAGUAACACGUGGGUAACCUACCCGGAGGUGGGGGAUAACCCUUCGAAAGGAGGGCUAAUACCGCAUGACAUCGCGGGGACUUCGGUCUUUGCGAUCAAAGCUGGCCUCUGUUUACAAGCUAGCGCCACCGGAUGGGCCCGCGCCCCAUUAGCUAGUUGGUGAGGUAACGGCUCACCAAGGCGACGAUGGGUAGCCGGCCUGAGAGGGCGAUCGGCCACACUGGAACUGCGACACGGUCCAGACUCCUACGGGAGGCAGCAGUGAGGAAUAUUGCGCAAUGGGCGAAAGCCUGACGCAGCGACGCCGCGUGGAGGAUGAAGGUCUUCGGAUUGUAAACUCCUGUCGAGUGGGACGAAUGCCGUGAGGGUGAAUACCCCUCGCGGUUGACGGUACCGCUGGAGGAAGCCCCGGCUAACUCCGUGCCAGCAGCCGCGGUAAUACGGAGGGGGCAAGCGUUGUUCGGAAUCAUUGGGCGUAAAGGGCGUGUAGGCGGUCGAUCAAGUCGGAGGUGAAAUCCCUCGGCUCAACUGAGGAAUUGCCUUCGAUACUGUUCGGCUUGAGUCCUGGAGAGGGUAGCGGAAUUCCCGGUGUAGCGGUGAAAUGCGUAGAGACCGGGAAGAACACCAGUGGCGAAGGCGGCUACCUGGACAGGUACUGACGCUAACAGCGCGAAAGCUAGGGGAGCAAACAGGAUUAGAUACCCUGGUAGUCCUAGCUGUAAACGAUGGGCACUUGGUGUUGCGGGUAUCGACCCCUGCAGUGCCGAAGCUAACGCAUUAAGUGCCCCGCCUGGGGAGUACGGUCGCAAGGCUGAAACUC
rnacentral:rRNA from 1 species